rnacentral:lncRNA from 1 species
ACCGCGCCCACGCCGCGCUUCUCCAGAAGUUCCAGACCUGCGGGCGCGUCCGUGAGAAGUGCGCAGCUGCCGGCGCCGGCAGGCGAUAAUCUGUGUCGCUGCUCCAGGGAUGGCAGUGCUUUGUGAUGGGAAGACCCUCCUUCGCAGUCUGCCGUGAGCAUCCUUUUUGCUUUGGAUCCCGCCCGGAGACCCAGGCCGUCCUCUCUUCCGGGUCAGUUUCCUCAGAGGCGAAACCGGACUCGCUCCCGAGUAGAUUCGGACCUCGGGGUCCGAGGAGCGCGGUUCCUUCUCCCUCGCGUGGGACAGGUGUUACCGGGCACACUCGUUCCACACCCGGCUUCUUUCCAGGAAGCGCAAACUCAGAUACCUUCAAAUACCUGAACAUUCUUCUUACAUAAACAGAACCUCAACUCCUAAGAACAUUGUUCGUGAUCUAAAAAAUCAUCUUUACACUAAAAGUUAUCGGGGUUGCUAAGAAUUCUUGAAAUUAAAGAAGAGCUUCAUUAGUUGUGUUCGUCCUCUUUCUUGCAGACUUCUGCACUGAAGUAGCCAAGAAUCUGAAUGGAUGAAAAUUUGUGUGAAGGCUUCUGUCUGUAUCAGUGUGGCUAAUCAUGCCUCUGUUCAUUAGCAGCUCUCUCUCUCAUAACCCAAACCUGCAGAGAUCUUUUCAGCAAGUCCUAUUAGAGCUAAGUCUACUCCAUGGCUAGGUGCUUUGAGCUUGACUGAUUUUGACUGAUUUUGACUGAGAACUACUUGUUGACACAUAAUCCCAAACUUCCUUCACAGUAUCUGAACAAUAAUAAGAAUUUUAGCUGAGACUGUCUUAAGUGACAAUGGGAAUGAUGUGAGAAGCAUAAGUGUCAUGACCAGAUCACCUAAUUUGUGUCUAAAUAUGGAAUGUUACUGUGCAGAACAGUGAAUCUGGCAUCAUCUAAAGGCACAGAAAUCCAGGUGAGUCAGCAGGUCAAGAAUAAGUAGUAUAGGCUUUUU